UACGGAGGAUGCGAGCGUUAUCCGGAAUCAUUGGGUUUAAAGGGUGCGUAGGCUGGUAUUUAAGUCAGUGGUGAAAUUUUCGUGCUUAACAUGAGAGCUGCCAUUGAUACUGGGUACCUAGAGUGUAUUUGAUGUGGGCGGAAUGUGUUGUGCAGCGGUGAAAUGCAUAGAUAUGACACAGAACACCGAUAGCGAAGGCAGCUCACAAAGUUACAACUGACGCUGAUGCACGAAAGCGUGGGGAUCAAACAGG
rnacentral:rRNA from 1 species